GAUGAACGCUGGCGGCGUGCAUAACACAUUCAAGUCGAACGAAGAUAUUUGGAGCUUGCUCUGGAUAUCUUAGUGGCGGACGGGUGAGUAACGCGUGAGCAAUCUGCCUCUGUGUACGGGAUAACAGUUGGAAACGACUGCUAAUACCGUAUGAAGUAUCUCUACCGCAUGGUUAGGAUACCAAAGAUUUAUUGCACAGAGAUGAGCUCGCGUCCGAUUAGGGAGUUGGUGAGGUAACGGCCCACCAAGCCGACGAUCGGUAGCCGGACUGAGAGGUUGAACGGCCACAUUGGAACUGAGAUACGGUCCAGACUCCUACGGGAGGCAGCAGUGGGGAAUAUUGGGCAAUGGGCGAAAGCCUGACCCAGCGACGCCGCGUGAGGGAAGAAGGUCUUCGGAUUGUAAACCUUUGUCGACAGGAAAGAAACAAAUGACGGUACCUGUUGAGAAAGCCACGGCUAACUACGUGCCAGCCGCCGCAGUAACAC
rnacentral:rRNA from 1 species